rnacentral:rRNA from 1 species
UACAGAGGGUGCGAGCGUUAAUCGGAAUUACUGGGCGUAAAGCGCACGUAGGUGGCUUGGCAAGUCGGGUGUGAAAUCCCCGGGCUCAACCUGGGAACUGCAUUCGAGACUGCCUUGCUCGAGUAUGGGAGAGGGAAGUGGAAUUUCCGGUGUAGCGGUGAAAUGCGUAGAUAUCGGAAGGAACAUCAGUGGCGAAGGCGACUUCCUGGACCAAUACUGACACUCAGGUGCGAAAGCGUGGGGAGCAAACAGG